CACGUAGAUGGCUUUGUAAGUCGGAUGUGAAAUCCCCGGGCUCAACCUGGGAACUGCAUUCGAAACUGCAUUGCUCGAAUGUGGAAGAGGGAAGCGGAAUUCCAGGUGUAGCGGUGAAAUGCGUAGAUAUCUGGAGGAACAUCAGUGGCGAAGGCGGCUUCCUGGUCCAACAUUGACAUUCAGGUGCGAAAGCGUGGGGAGCAAACAGGAUUAGAUACCCUGGUAGUCCACGCCAUAAACGAUGAGAACUAGAUGUCGGGAGGGUUAGCCUUCGGUGUCGCAGCUAACGCGUUAAGUUCCUCCGCCGUGGGGAGUACGGCCGCUAAGGUUAGAA
rnacentral:rRNA from 1 species